rnacentral:rRNA from 1 species
AAUGGGCGAAAGCCUGACGGAGCAACGCCGCGUGAGGGAUGAAGGCCUCUGGGCUGUAAACCUCUUUUAUCAAGGAAGAAGAUCUGACGGUACUUGAUGAAUAAGCCACGGCUAAUCCCGUGCCAGCAGCCGCGGUAAUACGGGAGUGGCAAGCGUUAUCCGGAAUUAUUGGGCGUAAAGCGUCCGCAGGCGGCCUUUCAAGUCUGCUGUUAAAAAGUGGAGCUUAACUCCAUCAUGGCAGUGGAAACUGUUGGGCUUGAGUGUGGUAGGGGCAGAGGGAAUUCCCGGUGUAGCGGUGAAAUGCGUAGAUAUCGGGAAGAACACCAGUGGCGAAGGCGCUCUGCUGGGCCAUCACUGACGCUCAUGGACGAAAGCCAGGGGAGCGAAAGGGAUU